GAUGUAUAAAAAUUACUUCAGUUGUUUUAUCAACUUCCCAUUUUAGAAAAAAUGCCAAGAAAGCGACUUCAGUUUCAUCAAUUGUCUAGUAGGAGUAAAAGAAGAAGGGUUAAUGAAAGUGCUGGUUGUUCACAUUGGUCUGAUGAUAGUGACAAUAAAAUAAAUACUACAAGAGAUACUAUAGAUAAUAAAGCUAACGAUACAAAUUGUUCAAUUCUUCUUGAUCCCGAAUCUUCAGAAAAUUAUAAUUUGAAUACAGAGAUUGAAAAGCAUCAAACAAUAUUUUCUGAAAAUGACCUGUCUUUAAGUAGUACAUCUAGUGAUAACGAACAAUUUUUUCAGUUUAAUUUUGAUUUGUCUCCUCCAGAAAUAUAUCCACCUGUUAAUGUAAAUGAGGAUGAUAAUCAGUCUUUGGAUAUCAAGAAAUUUCUUCGAAAUUGGUCUAUUAAAUAUAAUAUUACUGAUGUAUCUUUAUCUGCUUUGUUAGUUGGCUUGAAAGAAAAUAUUAAUAUUUUAAAUACAAUUUUACCAUCUGAUGCCAGAACAUUAUUAAAAACAAAUAUUGUGUUCGAAAAAAAGAAUAUUGAACCUGGUCAUUACUUACAUAUUGGCUUGGAAACCCAGCUAAAAAGUUUGAUUAAAAGUUGUCCAUUAAUUAAUGAAAUACAAGAAUUGAAAUUAAUAGUGAAUGUUGACGGACUUCCUCUUUUUAAAAGUUCUGCUGGACAAGUUAUUCCAAUAUUAAUUUCAGUCAUUAAUAUUCGACAAUUUAAAAAAAAUGUGUUUCCUGUUGGAAUUUAUUAUGGUUUACAGAAACCUAAUAAUAUGGCUCAAUUUCUUCAAACUUUUAUUGAUGAAGUUAUUGUUUUAACAGAAAGAGGUAUUAGUAAUGAAAAUGGUAGUGUAAUGUCAGUAAAAAUUGUUGGUUUUUGUUGUGAUGCCCCUGCAAAAAAAGAUAUAUUGGGUAUUAAAGGGCACGGUGGAUAUUCAUCUUGCACUAAAUGCACAGUCCAUGGUAUUACUGUUGGUAACAAGCGUGUUUUUACUGAAUUAAAUUGUGCUCCGAGAACUCAUGAAGACUUCGUUAAUUGGGUUGAUAUAAAUUAUAGACAGUUGGAUACACCAUUGACACAAAUACCUAGUAUUGAUUUUGUUAAGUCAAUAAUACUAGAUUAUUUGCAUUUAGUUUGCCUAGGAGUAAUGCGCACCAUGUUAUUAACAUGGUAUGAUGGAGUUAUACCAUUUAAGUUAUCACGCCAAUUGAUACAAAAAGUUUCAGAUUUUAUGUUCAAUAAUCGCUUAAAUUUACCAUCAGAGUUUGCUAGGAAGCCUCGUGAACUUAAGUAUCUUUUGAGGUGGAAAGGAGUUGAAUAUCGAUCUUUUCUGUUGUACCUUGGAGUAGUAGCUUUAAAAGGUGUUUUAGAUGACAACAAAUACAAUAAUUUUUUAACAUUGAAUGUGGCAAUGUCUAUACUGCUUAAUCCAAAAACAUGUAACAAUGAAGAAAUGAGGGAAUAUGCAAGAUCUCUUCUACAACAUUUUGUGCAAACGUUUAUGGUUCUCUACAAUGAAAGUUUUAUAACUCAUAAUUUUCAUGGGCUAAUACAUUUAGUUGAUGACGCUAAACAUUUUGCACCUAUGAUUGAUGCAUUUACACUCGACUCAAUUUCUGCAUUUCCGUUCGAAAAUUUUCUUCAAAAAUUAAAAAAUAUGAUAAGAGGGAAAAAUAAACCACUGGAGCAAAUUGGAAAACGACUAGCACAAUUAUUCUCUGAUGAUCAUUUCUUUUCUUUCCAAUCAUGUCCAUCUGAUAAUUUUCCUAAAUUAUUAAAUAUGCAUUGUAGUGGACCUCUACCUGUUAAUUGUAAUGGGCCACAGUAUAAAACGUUGUCAUUUUAUGAUUUUGUAAUUAAAAUAGAAUCACCCAAUAACUGCUGUGCCACAACAAGUAAUGAUAUUGUAAUGGUAGAAAAUAUAUGUUUUUCUAUGGAGUUACAAUCUUUUGUAAUUGUUGGAAGAAAAUUUCUUGUAAAAAAUAACUUUUUUACAGUGCCCUGUGAAAGUUCUACUAUUGGCAUUUAUAAAGUAGAAAAAUUAUCCAAUCUAAAAAUAUGGCCUAUUUCUAAUGUUUGCAUGAAGUAUGUUGUUUUGCCUUACAAACAUUUUUUUAUUAUUUUUCCUUUACUGCAUUCAGCAUAGUAGGAUAUUCACUUUUUUUCUUUUUUUCUGUGAUCUGAAUUAUUAUGUUACCUAUAUUUUAUAUUACCUAAACUUAACAUUACCUAUACAAUUACUACUUAUUAAAAUCAAUGUAUAUACAUUUCCUAUAUUUAUUUCAUGGUAUAAUACUCUUAUAAUUCUUUUAAUCUGUUUCCAUCUUCAUCAUAUAAUUAUCGUAUCAGCUAUCAAUAUUUUGUUUAUUUUAAAGAGUAUGUGGACAUUAAUAUCCAUUUACGAACCAGGUGAGGAGCCAAUACCAGAUUUAGUACCAAAUAUUUGGUUAAUUAAUGAUGUAA